rnacentral:sRNA from 1 species
GUAUUGCCUCCAGCACACUGUUUACAUUCCUACUGUGUCUCAGCAUCUGUUCUCCUGGGAAUACAACUGGUCCACCUGAACAUAUGAUCUGUGCUGCUGUUGGUGCACGAGGACAGGAGGGAAAUAAGCUGGAAGCCAUGGAUGUGGAGAGUCUGGCUUCAAGAUGGAGCUUGUUUACCUGCAGGUUGUCCCCCAGGAUGUCCUCACAGCUUGUGCGUGACAAAGAUGUCCUCCGUGUACAUAUAAGGAAGCACUGAGAAGCCACGAGAAAGCACUUAGUGAUUUUAACAUAAACAUUUCCACGGCAUUUUCAAGUUCUGCGUAAAAAGCCCGGUGAUAGAUCAGCCUCGCGGUGCGUAGCGCCGGCAGCUCCGCACUUCGGACACCUGGGGGCGCCCGUGCCAUUCCACCGGCGACUGGGACUCGUCAUCCGGGAAACAAAGAUGGGGAUUUAAAGAAAAGCCUUCAAAAUGCAACUCCGAAUGUCU